rnacentral:rRNA from 1 species
AUUGAACGCUGGCGGCAUGCCUUACACAUGCAAGUCGAACGGCAGCGGGGGAGAAGCUUGCUUUUCCUGCCGGCGAGUGGCGAACGGGUGGGUAAUACAUCGGAACGUGCCCUGUAGUGGGGGAUAACUAGUCGAAAGAUUAGCUAAUACCGCAUACGACCUGAGGGUGAAAGUGGGGGACCGCAAGGCCUCAUGCUAUAGGAGCGGCCGAUGUCUGAUUAGCUAGUUGGUGGGGUAAAGGCCUACCAAGGCGACGAUCAGUAGCUGGUCUGAGAGGACGAUAAGCCAAACUGGGACUGAGACACGGCCCAGACUCCUUCGGGAGGCAGCAGUGGGGAAUUUUGGACAAUGGGCGAAAGCCUGAUCCAGCAAUGCCGCGUGUGUGAAGAAGGCCUUCGGGUUGUAAAGCACUUUUGUCAGGAAAGAAAUGGCUCUGGUUAAUACCUGGGGUCGAUGACGGUACCGGAAGAAUAAGGACCGGCUAACUACGUGCCAGCAGCCGCAGUAA